AAGAAAUUUAGGUUUCACUCUGGAGAAAAAUCUGAGAAUGGUUCUAGGAGCUUUUCACCAUUGAGUCUCUAGGUUUGCCAAACAGAAGCUAUGGGGUCCUCUUCUCUUGUACUAACAAGCUAGACCCCAAGCAGUGAAACUGCUGCUAUAGAACAAAGGAGAUCUCCAAACCCAUUCUGUUCUAAAUCCAUAAUCCUGAUGGCUGAAGGCACCGAAGCUAGAAGCAGUGUCUUGUGGCUUAAACUUCAGGCGCUUGUCCCUGGACCCAGGACGCUUCCAGCAACGCUGCCGGCUUGCCGAGGCUCAUGGCAAUCAGAUCCUCUUUCUGAAUCUGAGUUUUCUCACCUAUAAAAAAAGCAAAUGGCCCCGAGAUGGCAAAGCCAUACCAUGAAAAGCGACUGGACCUCUGAGUCACCUCUUUGAGCAGAGAGAGCCAGAAGAUCCUCUUCACUCACACUGAACAGUGGCACGUGGGUGAAAUCACACUGUGCUGAGUUUCUGGAACCUCAGGAAUCUUUGGUACAGCAAAGAUGAUACUUUGAUUAAUACGCCAAACUCCAAGCUUAGAAAAUCUGGAUGUACAGCCUGUGUUCUUAAUUGCAAUGUUAUUUUUUCUCUUCCUUCUUCCUUUUCUGAAUAAUAAUACUUCUAAGAUUGCUGAAUAAAUCCGAUAUUGAUUGAGAUAAUAUAAGUGUGGUAACUAUAAUGCGUUU
rnacentral:lncRNA from 1 species